GAUCCUGGCUCAGAUUGAACGCUGGCGGCAUGGCUAAAACAUGCAAGUCGAACGAUUAAAGCCCCUUCGCGGUCUGUGGACAGUGGCGAAAGGGCGAGUAAUACGUUUCUAACGUGCCCAGAGGUCAGGGAUAGCCCAGGGAAACUUGGAAUAAUACCUGAUAACCCCGCGAAAUCGUAUGGUUUUGCGUGCAAAGGCUUGCUGCCUGGAGAUCGGGAAACGUCCUAUCAGCUAGUUGGUGAGGUAAAAGCUCACCAAGGCUAAGACGGGUAGCGGGUGUGAGAGCACGGCCCGCCGCAUCGGGACUGAGACACUGCCCGGACUCCUACGGGAGGCUGCAGUAACGAAUAUUCCGCAAUGCGCGAAAGCGUGACGGAGCAAUGCCGCGUGCAGGAUGAAGCCCCUCGGGGUGUAAACUGCUGUCAGGGUUUAGGAACACAAUGACCAGACCCAAAGGAAGGGCCGGCUAACUUCGUGCCAGCAGCCGCGGUAAUACGAAGGGCCCGAGCGUUAAGCGGAAUCACUGGGCUUAAAGGGUGCGUAGGCUGAAGGGUAAGUAUCUUGUGAAAGCCCACGGCUCAACCGUGGAACGGCAGGGUAUACUGCCGUUCUUGAGGCUGGUAGAGGCUGUCGGAACAAUAGGUGUAGCGGUGAAAUGCGUAGAUAUCUAUUGGAACGCCAAUGGCGAAGGCAGACAGCUGGGCCGAUUCUGACGCUGAGGCACGAAAGCGUGGGGAGCAAACAGGAUUAGAUACCCUGGUAGUCCACGCCGUAAACGAUGUGCACUAGAUCCUGGAGCCUCUGACGGUAUCGGGAUCGUAGAGAAAUUGUUAAGUGCACCGCCUGGGGAGUACGGCCGCAAGGCUAAAACUCAAAGGAAUUGACGGGGGCUCACACAAGCGGUGGAGCAUGUGGCUUAAUUCGAAUCAACGCGAAGAACCUUAUCCAGGGCUUGACAUGUAUGGAUUAUUGAUCCGAAAGGUGAUAGACGCUCUCUGAGUGGAACAUAUACAGGUGCUGCAUGGCUGUCGUCAGCUCGUGCUGUGAAGUGUCGGGUUAAGUCCCUUAACGAGCGAAACCCCUAUCACUAGUUGCCAUCAGGUUAUGCUGGGGACUCUAGUGAGACUGCCGGCGUCAAGCCGGAGGAAGGUGGGGAUGACGUCAAGUCCUCAUGGCCUUUAUGCCCUGGGCUUCACACGUGCUACAAUGGUAUCGACAGAGCGAAGCAAGACCGCGAGGUGGAGCAAAUCGCACAAACGAUGCCUCAGUUCGGAUUGUAGUCUGCAACUCGACUACAUGAAGUUGGAAUCGCUAGUAAUCGCGUAUCAGCAACGACGCGGUGAAUAAGUUCCUGAGCCUUGUACACACCGCCCGUCACGUCAUGGGUGCUCCGAGCACCCGAAGUAGCCACAACUCAGUGGUUCCUACGGUGAGCUCGGUGACUGGGACGAAGUCGU
rnacentral:rRNA from 1 species